GACGUAGGGCGCGAGCGUUGUCCGGAUUUAUUGGGCGUAAAGAGCUCGUAGGUGGCUUGUCGCGUCGUCCGUGAAAACUUGGGGCUCAACCCCAAGCUUGCGGUCGAUACGGGCAGGCUCGAGUUCGGUAGGGGAGACUGGAAUUCCUGGUGUAGCGGUGAAAUGCGCAGAUAUCAGGAGGAACACCGGUGGCGAAGGCGGGGUCUCUGGGCCGAUACUGACGCUGAGGAGCGAAAGCGUGGGGAGCGAACAGG
rnacentral:rRNA from 1 species